GAUGAACGCUAGCGGCAGGCUUAACACAUGCAAGUCGAGGGGUAGAUUACUUCGGUAACUGAGACCGGCGCACGGGUGCGUAACGCGUAUACAAUCUACCUUUUACAGAGGGAUAGCCCAGAGAAAUCUGGAUUAAUACCUCAUAGUAUUUUCGAAUCGCAUGAUUUGAUUAUUAAAGUUCCAACGGUAAAAGAUGAGUAUGCGUCCCAUUAGCUAGAUGGUAAGGUAACGGCUUACCAUGGCUACGAUGGGUAGGGGUCCUGAGAGGGAGAUCCCCCACACUGGUACUGAGACACGGACCUGACUCCUACGGGAGGAAGCAGUGAGGAAUAUUGGACAAUGGGCGCAAGCCUGAUCCAGCCAUGCCGCGUGCAGGAAGAAGGUCCUAUGGAUUGUAAACUGCUUUUAUACAGGAAGAAACACCUCUACGUGUAGAGACUUGACGGUACUGUAUGAAUAAGGACCGGCUAACUCCGUGCCAGCCGCCGCGGUAA
rnacentral:rRNA from 1 species